rnacentral:lncRNA from 1 species
UCCUGCAAAUGGCAGAUGAGAGGAGUCACAGGUUUUCUCUCCUCUUAAUUAUUCAGAUCUUGGCACCUGAGGAGCAGACCAGCUGGGGUUAGGAAUCCAAAGCAGGGCAGGAUCCGUCCACACACUCGUGUGUUUAUUUAUUUAUGCAGCUCCAGCAAAGAAAAUUAAAAACAGGGCUGGCCCCUGGCUGGGAGAUGGAGCCUGACACUGCAUAUGCGUCUGUGAGACUCAGUCUGGUCCCGGAUGCCCGACUCCUCGAGGUCUGUCUGUGCACUGGGCCAAGGCCCUGCUGGCCACAGAACAUAGGCGGUGAGGGCUGCAUAGGGAGGGGCUGUGGUUUCAGAGGCUGACGCAGCUGGCUGGCCUUCUGCUCCUUGUCUCCCGGAGGCUCCCUGCCCUCAGCAAUAGAAGAAUAAAAGUUGUUGAGAAGUCACUCUGGCAAUCCCCUGCCCACCAAGAACAGGCGCUAUCAAGAGUGGAUAUUGCAGAAACGCUUCCUCUCCCUACAAACCUUCCAGGUGCCCUGGUCUUUGCCAGAACCAAACAGUGGUCACAGCUAGGACCUGCACCGGGGGUCCUGAAUCCACCUUGCCCGGUGCCCAGAUGCCCCUCCUGCUCUCUGGAUGGAGCCCACCCUCAACAAGCACUCCGGCAGGACCAGGUUCCAUGAAGACAAUGCCACUUGGAAUCUGAUAACAAUUGCGGGUCCAGAUGACUCUCGUGGGCAGCAUCCUCCAUGUGGACUCAGCCAUCCAGGUGGCCUCUAUCCUGCAGUGUCCACCUCACAGCUCUGGCACCAUCAUGGUGCAGAGUGCAGCCCUAGGAAGAUGGGAGACCCAGGAACUGGCCCUGUCUCUGCUGAUAGCUCCGUCAGCUUGAAUGAGGUCUAAGCCCCACGGACACUCUGCAUAAAGAAGCAUGCAUGUUGUGUAGGUAACGGGGUUGGAACUGUUGUGGUCAUUGCUUCAUGAGGGAAACUAGAUAGGGAUAGCACCAGGGAUGGCAGGCUGGAGCCUGGGGAGGGCGGAUCACAGAGAAGCUCUGUGACGUCGUCUGGGGUUAGGAACCCAUGAAAAGACUGAACUUCCUAUUAGGCAGGGAGAAAAUGGGGAGGGUCUGGCUUGAUGUCUCUUGGAGAAAUCUGGAUUACACAAAUAUGUGAGGCCAGGAAACCAACAAGGAAAACAUGACCUGUCUUUGCUGAUAAUGAUUGUCCUAUCUGCAUAAACUCACAAGGAUGGAAUAAGAAUAAAACCAACAACACACUUCCGCCAAGACUUGACAGUUUGCAAAGCAUUUUAAAAUACAAAGCCAACUCUGUUAAUGGUAACUUGGAUAGAUGUUCCAGCUUCAGUCCAAAUAUCUUACAGAUAUUUACUUUAGUCCUCAUAGCAUGACUAUCUUUAUUUCACAAUGAGGAAACUGAGCUAAGUAUUUUACCCGAGGUUUUACAGUUAGUAGCCAAGACAGGAUUCGAACCCAGGUAUCUGGCUCUAGAAGCCACACACUGAACUCUGCAUCCAGCAGCCUCUGCAGAAAACACAAUAAAACUCUUCUGAUGAUGCCAGUGGCUGGAAUUCCACCACUUAUACAGAACAAUAGGGCUGGAGUUGCUCUGAGAGAAUCAUGUCUAUUUCGAGGAAGUUGAGGAAAAAUAUACCUAAAUUUUGUUUUGGUGUAGUCUAAUCCUACAGUAUAAAGAACUUUUGUAUUGCAUUUGAAUUCUUUUAUUUAUUCUUUCAUGAGCAAAAACUUUUUGCACACUUACUGUGUUCCAGGUUCUGUUCUAAGCUUGUGCAGUGCAUGCUACCUCAUGCAACCUUUGCAACAACUCUCCCUGCUAGGGGGCCACUCUUUCCUAAAGCAGGCAGGGGCCCAGAACAGGCUGUUCCAGGCCUCCUCUAUGCCUUAUUAUCACAGAGAGAGCAUAGAAUAUUCCUCAAGCAACAAGAAAGAGCAAGGAAAUACAUGUUCAAUGCAGACAUCCACGUUUGUGUCAUCUCAGAGGAAGGAACAGGAUCACCCGUUCCCUCCAAGGGAAAAUAUACCCUUUUCUUUGCUUUUAUUGGUUUUAAGGCCUGGGACAGUAGUUCUCCACCUUCUUGGGUCACAUUGCCUUUCACUCUGCCAGAUUCUGUUUCCUUUCUGUGACACGAGGAUAGAAAUAACACGCAUGGCAAUGGAUUGGGGUGGUAUUCCAACGAAAUAAUGUAACGAUGGCCCUUUGUGAAGUGGAAUUCAUACAUUCAUUCACUCAUGCAUUCAACACAUUUACUGAGGGCCUAUUAUGUGCCAAGCUCCUCUUGAAGUCUCUGAGGCCUGAAGAGUGAAGACAGAAUAGAUGCUAAAGGCAGAUUUCUGGAACAAACUGCCUGGGGUCAAAUACUAGCCUCAUUACUCACUAACUAUGGGAAAGUUAAGUAUAAAACCUGACUCAAAGGGUUAGUGUCAAGUUUAAAGAAGUUAAUAUCUGUAAAACAUUUAAAAUAGUUCCUGGCAUAGAGUAAGUUCCAGAAAUCCUUUGAUAAUAAAAAAAUAUUUUUGAAAAGAACAACUAAGAAAAAUUACAUUCAGUAUUUCUACCUAAGGAGAUAUGGCUGUAUAUUUUACCUUAAAAAUAUCAGAGAUGUUAAAAUAAUAGAACAAUAAAUAGAAUAAUAAACAUCUGUAUAACUUUUUAAAAAGAUUUAAAGCCCACAUUUUGUGUUUUUUUUUUUUUUUUUUUUUUUUUUUAUGGAAACAGAGUCUUGCUCUGUCACCCAGGCUGGAGUGCAGUGGCGCCAUCUCGCUCCACCUCCCAGGUUCAUGCCAUUCUCCUGCCUCAGCCUCCAGAGUAGCUGGGACUACAGGUGCACGCCACCAAGCCCAGUAAAGCCCACAUUUUCUAAAUGUGAAAUAAAAUUUUAAUUCUUAAUCAUUAGCCAUCAAGAACACACAGAUAUCUAGAAUGCCCUAACUUAUUAAUGUCUUAAUGUAUUAGUUCAAGUCUCAAAAGCUUAAAGCAAUAAAAUGUAUUACCUGCUGAAGUAAACCCUCAUAUACCUGUGAUAGCAGUUCCUCCACCAUCAAGAAUCUGGAAAAAGGAGGAAAGCCUAGAAAACAACAACAACAACAAAACACUGCUUCUUAAAGAUAUCAACCCCAAAGUGACACCUAUCACUUCCUCUUUCAUGUCACUGGCCACCCCCACCUUCACUGAGAAGAAAAAGGUUAAUUCGACUACACACCUGACUUCACUGUUUGAUCAUCUGAUUGUGGACAAGUCACUUAAUUUGACUGUAUUUCAGUUUCCUUGUUUGUUAAAUGAAAACAGAAACAGUGCUUUGCUCAUGGCAUUGUCAUGAGACUUAAAUCAUACACAAAAAUGUUAGCUAUAAUGACAAUGUGAUCUACCCACAGAAAAUAUAAAGUAUUAUUUGUGUGUGCAUGUCUGUUUAAUGUGAGUAGUAUCAGACUACAUUUCCAAUGCCGAUAAAAAUGUGUGAUCUGACUGAAA